rnacentral:lncRNA from 1 species
CAUGGGUCCACGUUACUUCUCCACGGCAAUUCUUCGAAAUGAUGCCGGAACCGGAAUUAUGAGUGGCGCCGCCGGUUUCAUGCAUGGGGUUCCGGCUAUUCCGUCGGAGAAAGCGGUGGUGAUGUGGGUUAGGCAUUUUCCAGUGAUGGGUUCACGCAGCGCUAGUACUGUGGCUUUGAAUGAUAAGCAGCACGAUAAGAAAGUGGAAAACGGCGGCGCCGCCGCAUCUGGCGGCGGUGAUGGCGGUGAUGAGAAAUCAGUAGUGAGUUAUUGGGGUGUUCCGCCUUCAAAGGUUACUAAAGAGGACGGUACUGAAUGGAAAUGGAAUUGCUUUAGGGUAAAUUUAAUUUAGCUUUUCACAUAUUUUCUGAUAUUUUCUUUUUGAAAGUUGUCGAGAUUUUAGAGAAUUUAAUUUUUCUUUUUUGUGACUAAUGGUGGAUUUAUUUUGUGGGACGUAGCCAUGGGAGACGUACAAGGCUGAUUUGUCAAUAGAUCUGACGAAACACCAUGCGCCAACCACUUUCUUGGACAAAUUUGCUUAUUGGACCGUCAAGGCUCUCCGAUACCCCACUGAUAUAUUCUUUCAGGUAUUUAAGUUAUUCUUUUUCUUGUAUUUGUAUUUCUGGUUGUUUGAAUAUGACGUUAUUUGUCCGAACAAAUUUGGUACUCCUAUAUGGCUCUCACCCGAUUUAGAAGAGAAAAAAGUUCAGUUACCUUUCCCAGAAUUUUGGAAUAUUGCUUAGACCUUAAUAAUAAUAAUAAUACUAAUAAUACUAAUACUAAUAAUAAUAAUAAUAACAUUAUUAUUAUUAUUUAUUAUUAUUAUUAUUAUUAUUAUUAUUAUUAUUAUUAUUAUUAUUUCAGGCUGUGAUACUCUAUUUUUUACCUUUUAUUUUGGAUCUUGCUCUUACAAGAAAUGCUUUUAAUCUCGUUUCUGAAGAAUUUUAGAUUGCUUUCUUAUAGUUUGUAGUAAUAAAAAUAGUACUAGUUGCUUCUGUGGUAGAUUUUAAUUGAAAGCAACUAAGAAGAAAUAAACAAAUGAAGGGAUGGCUAAAGUUUUAAGUAAUUUUACUCCGUUAUAGAUCCAGAUUCAAGAAUAACUCUUCUUUAUGCUAUCAACAUAAAGAAAUGUGGUCAACUUGAAUAUUAAAACUAAUUAUCAUUGAAAAUCAAGCAUGGGAUGGGCGAGAAUGAUAUUCUGGAUGUGGAAUUAAUUAUUACCACAAAUUCUUUUAUACCUACUGAAGUUCAAUUCAAUGCAAUUCUAUUGGAGAUUAAUUUGUGUGGGUUAUAAUUAAUGUGGUGCAGAGGAGAUAUGGUUGUAGAGCAAUGAUGUUGGAAACAGUGGCUGCAGUGCCUGGAAUGGUGGGAGGAAUGUUGUUGCACUGCAAAUCACUGAGGCGAUUCGAACAGAGUGGAGGAUGGAUCAAAGCACUGUUAGAAGAAGCUGAAAAUGAGAGGAUGCACCUCAUGACUUUCAUGGAAGUAGCCAAGCCUAAUUGGUACGAGCGUGCACUAGUCUUUGCAGUGCAAGGCGUCUUCUUCAACGCCUACUUUGUCACUUACCUUCUUUCACCAAAGUUGGCUCAUCGUAUCGUGGGUUACUUGGAAGAAGAGGCAAUUCAUUCCUACACUGAGUUCCUAAAGGAAUUGGACAAGGGCAACAUUGAGAACGUUCCUGCUCCUGCUAUUGCCAUCGAUUACUGGCGUCUCCCUAAAGACUCCACUCUCCGUGAUGUUGUCUUGGUUGUUAGGGCUGACGAGGCUCAUCACCGUGAUGUCAACCACUUUGCAUCUGUAAGUGGAGCAACACAAAACAGUUAUAGACUGUUUAUAUAGCAAACUCUAAUUAAUUAUGGUUGAUUUUUGUUCUUAAGUCCUGACUAACUAAUUUCUAUGCUUUUGAUUGCAGGACAUUCAUUAUCAGGGACAACAGCUGAAGGACUCUCCAGCACCAAUUGGGUAUCACUAAGCCACUAAUACACAGAUUGAUCAAGUUAAAUGUCGCUGUUAUGUUCUUUUUUGUACUGGUAUAGAGCUAAUGUAGUACCUACUACUAUUUUGAAUGUUGAUGUACAUAUUUUUUUUCUGUGGAUUUGGUUGGUUGUUUACUACUGCCUUCAUGAAUCUCUGAGAUGGCAGUAGAGCACAAUGAGCUCUGUAUGAUUGGAGCAUAUACC